AGCAGCCGCGGUAAUUCCAGCUCCAAUAGCGUAUAUUAAAGUUGUUGCAGUUAAAAAGCUCGUAGUUGAAUUUCGGGAUCAAUAUGUUGGUCGUGCCUCGGUACGUACUAGCUUAUUGGUUUCUCCUUUCUGAAGAACCAUGAUGUCAUUUAUUUGGUGUCGUGGGGAAUCAGGACUGUUACUUUGAAAAAUUAGAGUGUUUAAAGCAGGCUCACGCUUGAAUACAUUAGCAUGGAAUAAUGAAAUAGGACGUUUGAUUCUAUUUUGUUGGUUUCUAGGAUCGACGUAAUGAUUAAUAGGGAUAGUUGGGGGCAUUAGUAUUCAAUUGUCAGAGGUGAAAUUCUUGGAUUUAUUGAAGACUAGCUACUGCGAAAGCAUUUGCCAAGGAUGUUUUCAUUAAUCAAGAACGAAAGUUAGGGGAUCGAAGACGAUCAGAUACCGUCGUAGUCUUAACCAUAAACUAUGCCGACUAGGGA
rnacentral:rRNA from 1 species